rnacentral:rRNA from 1 species
GACGAACGCUGGCGGCGUGCCUAAUACAUGCAAGUAGAACGCUGAAGGAGGAGCUUGCUUCUCUGGAUGAGUUGCGAACGGGUGAGUAACGCGUAGGUAACCUGCCUGGUAGCGGGGGAUAACUAUUGGAAACGAUAGCUAAUACCGCAUAAGAGUAGAUGUUGCAUGACAUUUGCUUAAAAGGUGCAAUUGCAUCACUACCAGAUGGACCUGCGUUGUAUUAGCUAGUUGGUGGGGUAACGGCUCACCAAGGCGACGAUACAUAGCCGACCUGAGAGGGUGAUCGGCCACACUGGGACUGAGACACGGCCCAGACUCCUACGGGAGGCAGCAGUAGGGAAUCUUCGGAAAUGGACGGAAGUCUGACCGAGCAACGCCGCGGGAGGGAAGAAGGGUUUCGGAUCGUAAAGCUCUGUUGUAAGAGAAGAACGAGUGUGAGAGUGGAAAGUUCACACUGUGACGGUAUCUUACCAGAAAGGGACGGCUAACUACGUG